CCAUAAGCUCUGCGCCUGCUGUUGUCAUUUCUCUCUGUCUUCCCAUCUAUUUUCUUUGAAUCUAUUUUGGUCAAGCCCUUUUCUAAUUUGCAUUUUCAAAGUCAUGCUUAUUAAGCUAGUUAGAAAUGUGUCCUCUGUGACAACAGAGGGACUCUCCAAGGAGUUAAAUUCUAAUACUUCAAUACUUAAGUGGAACUCAAUAUCUUGUUUUACUUCUGAGAAGUCGAUCUGCUUCCUUCCAAGUGUUACUGUGCUGGCAAUUGAAAUGACAAGGUGCACUUUCUUUGUUCAUACCCAACUGGGCUGCCAGCCUUCUGGAGACACAGGUUGAUGGAAAAGAUAUCAAGAGACACCCUUGUCUCCUCGAUUAUGGCUGUCCUCCACCACCAAAGAAACUUCUUCUGAAUAUUCUUGGACAGAGGUACCUGUUGUUUAUUACGCGGGUAAAAGCCAGGAGUAUGCUGCAAAUAUUUUACAACUAUCUGUCAAAAAACAGGCCCUGAUUUGUAGCAUUUGCUGAUUGCCCUGGUGUAAAUACUCCCACUCUAGCCAAUUUCGAGCAACCAAUGUGACUUUUCUGAACACAGAAUUAGAAAGACAUGAGCACACUUGGCUCUCACAAGCUGGUCCAGGCUGGCUCCUGCACAUCACAAGGAAAGCCUGUAAGUUUAAAGACAGACAAUUAAAGCUGUAUAUUCAGUAAAGAUUUACAGUUGUUUUAUCAACCGUCUCAUCACCUCCCUUUACCACCAAAUUAAGCUGACCUGGCAAGGUCUCUAACAGUUGAUAAUUUUUCUUUAUUACCAAGCAUUUGGCAGAAAUUUUCCCACCACAUAAAAUUAGGCCCCUGGCCUAUGGAUAGCUUCAAUAAAUAGCUUUCUUUGUCUCCUGUUGAAUUAGUG
rnacentral:lncRNA from 12 species